rnacentral:rRNA from 1 species
GACGAACGCUGGCGGCGUGCCUAAUACAUGCAAGUCGAACGCAGUGGGGACGGGUGAGUAACACGUGGGUAACCUCCCAUCAGAGGGGAUAACACUUGGAAACAGGUGCUAAACCGAUACUGAUGGAUGGACCCGCGGUGCAGUAGCUAGUGGGUGAGGUAACGGCACACCAAGGCCACGAGGCAGAGCCGACCUGCGAGGAUGAGCGGCCACACUGGAAUUGAGACACGGCCCAGACUCCUACGGGAGGCAGCAGUGGGGAAUCUUGGGCAAUGGGGGAAAGUCUGACCGAGCAACGCCGCGUGAGUGAAGAAGGUUUUCGGAUCGUAAAACACUGUUGUUAGAGAAGCGGUAUCUAACCAGAAAGCCACGGCUAACUCCGUGCCAGCAGCCGCGGUAAUUC